GGAGGUGGCGAUGUCGUGACGGGGGCGGAGGGGAUGCCAGGUGGUGGGGCCUCGGUGAGGGUGACCGAUGAGAGUGAAUGGAUAAGGUGGGUGGGUGCUGGCGAUCCCGAAUUGGGCUUGGGCAGUUGGGCAGCUUAAAUGGGCCUUUCUAUUCAAUGCUUAGCCUGCUGAUCUCUGUUUUUUUAUCUUUUUCUUUUUUUAGUGUAUGUACAUAUGAAGCAUCGCCUUGGCGUGGCUAGGCUCUAUGCGGAAGGUUACAGCCUAGUGAGUGCCUAGCGCCUUUUGUAACCUUGCAUACAACUUUUUUGGAUUGACAUUAUACAUGUAGGUUGCACCCAACACCUGCCAGACAAAUGGGUGUAAGGUGGUCCUCGGUGAUUCAUAGAUGAUGGCAUAGCAUGUUGCAAAUUUCUGUAGUUCUAUGUGGCCUAUAGAGGUCUUAAGGUAGGACCUAUACUUGACAAAACAGUAAUAACUACCUCAACCUUUCCUCUCUUUCACAGGUUUUUUUUUAUGCUCUCGUCUUUCACUGAACAGAGCAGCCAUUGCAUGUAAUAUUUUUAUCCUUAAGACUAGAUUGUAAGCUAGAGGACCGCCUCUGGCCUUGCUAUCUAUUCCCAAACUUGUAGCUCCCAUCUCUAGUACGAUUGCAAACUCAUGCUCAUGCCCUUGUAUUUGGUAGGAAACGUAGGCUGUAAAGUCAAAAUCAAGACCCAAUUUGGUAGAUGUAUAACCUACUCGAAUUGAAAACCAGCACCAAAAUUGCACUUAGCGUCACAGAUUUGUCAUGGUUUCGAUAACCUUAAGGCUCUGUUUGGAUGUAGAUAUUGAGAGGGUUAGAAUUGAAUUGGGUUCAAUACCAAAGCAGCCGUGGUAUUGAAAUGGCUAUAAUGCCAAUAUCAUUGUUUGGAUGAUCAUUGAGUUGCCUUUUGGAAUCAUAGCAAGUAGCUCAAAUCUGAUUCCUGUUUGGAUGCAAAAGAAUGGAAUUGAAAUAUGGUACGAGAUUGACCAAAGGGGAGUUCGACGGCCGCGUCCAUGGCGGGCGAAGCUAGACCUAGGGGGAGCUUGACGGCGGCGUCCAUGGAAAGAGGGUGGAUCUCAACAGCGGAUCUCCCUCAACCACGGCCAGAGCGAGCGGAGCUCAACCUCGGAUGGGAGAUUGACCUAGGGAGGAGCUCGAUGGUCGGCGUCCAUGGCGGACGAGCUCUGUCCUCUGUGCUGGACUUGCGCCGCCGCCGCCGAGCCCCGUCCUCCUCCGCGCCGAACUCCGGCCGGCGUCCAUGUACCGCGGAGAGAUUUGAGGGGAGCGGCGCGGCCUGGGGCCUCUCCAGUGUAGGGGAGGGGCUCAGGCCGGGGCCUCGCCGACGGAGGGGCGCGCAGGGGAGCAGCGUGGCCCGGAGCCUCGCUGGUGGAGGGAGGCGCAGGACCUCGGUGGCGACGGAGGGGAGUGGCGCGGCCCGGGGCCUUGCCGGCGUGGCGCAGGGAAGCAGCGUGGCCCGGGGCCUCGCCGGCGGCGGAGAGGAGCUGGAGCGGCGCGGGGCCUUGGGGGCGGAGACAAGCAGCCAAGGUUGGACCUUGCCGGCGGAGAAGGCUGCAUAGGGCAGAGGGGAGCGAUGCAAGAGAAACGGGGAGAAGCAUUGAUUCUUUGCAAUACGGAGGGGAGGGGCUCGGUAUUGAGGAAGGGGUUGCGGCAAUAGGGGGAAUACCACUUGGUAUUGUGGUCGAUUUCCAAUUCCAAUUCCUAGGUUAUCCAAACAAUAGGUAUUCAGUGGAUCCAAUUCCAAUUCCGAAUUCCAGGGUUCAAUAUCUACAUCCAAACGGGGUGUAAAGCUCAUCUGCACCCAACACUAUUCCACCAAUCCAACAAAUCAAAUCUUCAGGACUGGUGUGGGUUUGCAACGGGAGUAGAUAUGUGGGUGCUGAAUGGAACUAUUUAACUUGCAUGGAGGUUCAGUUGAACUGAUGCUGAAUUACUGGGUGGUUUGUGCAAAUCCAUUUUGUAAAUAUUAUUUGAGACAUUUCUGCACAUCAUUUACAUAGGUCUAAUUUAAAUUUAUCAUACAAAAUAUUCUGGAUAGCCCACAAAAGUUUAGAAAAUGGUUACCGUAUCCCAAAAGGUUAUGAUAUUAUUUUAUGAUUGGAGAAUGUAUCUUGAAUUGUAACAUUACCAUUUUACUGCAGUAAAAUAUCUUCCACACAUGCUUCUAAUUUCUGGAAAGGAUGUAACCUUAGUUGUUCUGCAGCGUUAACUUUGAAGCGAAGUCCAUGAUAUGCUUUUUUCCUUUUUUUCUCAUCUCUAUUGUUCAUGAAAUAUCAGGAUUUUUCCUGUGUCCUUUUGUGCUUGUUGAAAUUGCUAUUCAUUGGCGCACUAUGUGGCCUCUGUUUUACACACAAAAAAACAUUGGAGCCAAUUCCUUCGGUGCCAUAAAAUUUUCCGAAUUCCUCUCAAUGCCAUGAAAAUUCUGAUUUUGGCUGGAUAACGAGCCGGGCUCAGCUCGCUCCAGCUCGUUAUCUUAACGAGCUGACUCGGCUUGGCUUGAUAAGCUAACGAGCUAAAAGCUGAGCUCGACUCGGCUGGAUAAAAACCGAAGCAAGCUCAUGCAGCUCGCGAGCAAUACAUCACAAACACAGAGCCACGUGAAAACAUAGAAGAAAUAGACUAGAAUCGAAUCAAAUUGAUCUUUAAACCAAAGAAGUGAAUUGAAUCAAUUUGAAUGGACUUCGCAGGAAAUUGCCCAUCUCACGAAAGCAAUGAAAUAAACGCAGUAGAAAGUAAAAACAAGGAUUGGAAAUUUGAACUAUUGGAGAUGGGAUGUACUGAUGAUCCCCUGGCCAUGGGGCUUGAGCAUGACGUCCAUGCCUGUGAGCUCGCAAAGCUGAGCACUGAGUGACGACGAGGUGUGGAGCUGGUCCUGUGGCUCCAUGGGAGCAAAGCAACGUGGCACAGCAGCAGGGUAAAGAAGUCGUGGAUAGGGUCCAUAGGGAAGCCAGAGCGCCGGUGCUACGCGAGAGGGAGGAACGGCCAAUUAGGGAGCGGCGCAACGUGAGAGGAAGAGGGGAGAGCGGGGGUGGGAGAUGGAGGAACGAGGAGCAGGCGGCGAGCAGUGGCGAGAUACGAGAGAGAGAGAGAGAGAGAGAGAGAGAGAGAGAGAGAGAGAGAGAGAGAGAGAGAGAGAGAGAGAGAGGAGCAGGAGCGGCGGCGUGAUGCACGCGAGUAGGGAACGAUUAGGGGUAGGGUUCAAAUGGAUGGAGUCGUAACUGAAGAUUGUGGGCUCGCUUGGGCCUCGAUUGCUCGUAUUGUGGGCUGCUGGCUUGCUGCACUUCCCCAGCUCGUUUAGCUCGCGAGCUGCUCAUGAGCAAGCUCGUUAUAACAACAACAACAACAACAUAGCCUUUUUUCCCAAGCAAGUUGGGGUAGGCUACAAGCUCGUUAUAACUAUCAAGCAAAAAUACCAGCUUGGCUCGUUAACAAAAUGCAACAAGCCAAUGCAACGAGCCGAAUCGAGCUAGCUGCGAGACGAGUGAGCUAUCAAGCCACGAGCAUUUUGUCCAGCCCUAAUCCCUAGUAUGCCAUUUCCACUAGGGAUCUAAUAGAUUUUAAUGGCACAGUGUUAAAAGGGGAAUUGGCAUCACGUGAAAUGACAUUUGUGCCCCUAUUUCACUGAAUAAAGGGCCCACUUGCAGAACAUUAUCCUCCCCCUCUAUCCUCUCGGUUCUCCUCUCCCAAUUUCUAGAUCUCUCCUGUCGCCCUCUCCAUCUGCCCCUGAGGCAUCGACAAGUCGACAACCCCCUUCGUUGGCCCCACGCAAGCUAGGCGCGGUGAGCGCGGCGGCCACGGACGUUGAGGCACGGAAGCCUUGUGGGUUGCUAGGCAAUGUGCGGCCCUGCGGGUGGCCAGGCGGCGCCCCCGCGCAGCCAGGCAGCGGUGCAGGAAGCCUGAAGCUGGCCGCUCGGCCACAACAUCCUGAAGCCGGCCGCUCGGCCUGCAAUCUUGCGCGCCGUGCAGCAACCCGAAGCCAGCCGCUGGAGCUCCUUCCCCCAUUCCGCUUUGAACUUCCACGGUCUUCAUGCGGAUCCUGGCCCUGCUGUACCUUCCCUUGCGCGUCAGCUGCUGUCGGCGCCUCGAAUGAGUCCCAGAAUGAAGACGACAAGGCUGGUAGUGUGACCCAUUCGUGUUGUGAUUUUUUUUUUCAAUUUGUGUUGAUUUGUGCAGCCACACGCAUGAUGGCAUCGAUCUGUGUUUCCGUUUUGUCAAUUUGUGCACCAUUUAACUUGAUGUUCAUGUUUCAUGAUUAAUAGGAUAUGAAUCUAGUCACGAUUAAUAUUAUGUGUGUGAUUUUUGUCAUCUCAGUAUAAGACAUCAAUCUACUUGGGUUUGUAUUAUCUCCAUCUCUAUUUU